GGAAGCGGAGGGCACGGCUUCUUAGUAAAUGGAGGAAUCUUCGGAAGAGGAGGAAGUGGCUUGUGAGGAAUAGGAGGGAAGGGUUUCGGUUUGUAAAUAGGAACCGGCGGUGGAAGCGGCUUCUUAUAAACCGGCACCGGAUGAGGCUUAUAAACCGGUGGUUUGUAGACAGGAACCGGCGGUGGAAGCGGCUUCUUAUAAACCGGCACCGGAGGAGGCUUAUAAACCGGUGGUUUGUAGACAGGAACCGGUGGAGGGAGUGGUUUCUUGUAGACCGGCACCGGAUGAGGCUUAUAAACCGGUGGUGGAAGAGGUUUCUUGUAGAUGGGAGGGUGAGGGUAAUGAUGGUGGAAGCUUUUCAAUGGCGGAAGUGGUGGAAGCUUAGGCAAUGGAGGGAAGUUGUGGUGGUGGUGAGGCCAAAAGGAGGCUGAGACACAUGUUAUUGGUGAGAAUUUGAGGUUCUCUUUUAACCCAAACUGGUGUUUCUGGUCGGUGGUGGAUUUGAAAACUAGC
rnacentral:lncRNA from 1 species